AGACAUCGAAGGAAAAAAAGAUUCUAAAAGAAGCAAUGGAUAUUUGUCUACUGAAAUCGGAGGCUAAAGUAAGGCACAAAUGAGUCAGAAGACACUUGAAGGAUGGAGAAACUAAAACAACACUCUUUUAUUUCAAUUAUGAAUGAAAUAAAAAUUUUUGCAUUUUGA